UACGUAGGUGGCAAGCGUUAUCCGGAUUUAUUGGGCGUAAAGGGAACGCAGGCGGUCUUUUAAGUGAGAUGUGGAAUACUCGGGCUCAACUUGAGUGCUGCAUUUCAAACUGGAAGUCUAGAGUGCAGGAGAGGAGAAUGGAAUUCCUAGUGUAGCGGUGAAAUGCGUAGAGAUUAGGAAGAACACCAGUGGCGAAGGCGAUUCUCUGGACUGUAACUGACGCUGAGGCUCGAAAGCGUGGGGAGCAAACAGG
rnacentral:rRNA from 1 species